rnacentral:rRNA from 1 species
CACGUAGGGUGCGAGCGUUGUCCGGAAUUAUUGGGCGUAAAGAGCUCGUAGGCGGUCUGUCGCGUCGGAUGUGAAAAUCAGGGCUCAACCCUGGACCUGCAUUCGAUACGGGCAGACUAGAGUUCGGUAGGGGAGACGUGGAAUUCCUGGUGUAGUGGUGAAAUGCGCAGAUAUCAGGAGGAACACCGGUGGCGAAGGCGGGUCUCUGGGCCGAAACUGACGCUGAGGAGCGAAAGCGUGGGGAGCAAACAGG